UAAGGAAUAUUGGUCAAUGGAGGGAACUCUGAACCAGCCAUGCCGCGUGCAGGAAGACGGCCCUCUGGGUUGUAAACUGCUUUUAUUCGGGAAUAAACCUAUUUACGUGUAAAUAGCUGAAUGUACCGAAGGAAUAAGGAUCGGCUAACUCCGUGCCAGCAGCCGCGGUAAUACGGAGGAUCCAAGUGUUAUCCGGAUUUAUUGGGUUUAAAGGGUGCGUAGGCGGCUUAUUAAGUCAGGGGUGAAAGACGGUGGCUCAACCAUCGCAGUGCCCUCGAUACUGAUGAGCUUGAAUGGACUAGAGGUAGGCGGAAUGUGACAAGUAGCGGUGAAAUGCAUAGCUAUGUCACAGAACACCGAUUGCGAAGGCAGCUCACUACGGAUGUAUUGACACUGAGGCACGAAAGCGUGGGGAUCAAACA
rnacentral:rRNA from 1 species